CGACGAACCAGAGCUUGCUCUGGGGCAAAGCCGCGAACGGGUGAGUAACACGUGGGUAACCUGCCCCGAUGACCGGGACAACCCGAGGAAACUCGGGCUAAUACCGGAUGACGCAGCUCGACAUAAGUCGAGCUGCCAAAGGUAGCUUCGGCUUCCGCAUUGGGAGGGGCCCGCGGCCCAUUAGCCUGUUGGUGGGGUAACGGCCUACCAAAGCAACGAUGGGUAGCUGGUCUGAGAGGACGAUCAGCCACACUGGGACUGAGACACGGCCCAGACUCC
rnacentral:rRNA from 2 species